UUAUUAUUAUAUGAGAUAUUUUCAAGCAAUUUCUGCAAAAUAUAUGAGUCACCUCUCAACAUCCAAAUGUACUAAUAUUUUUACAAAUGCGCCCUGGUCUAGUAAUAAACUGUAAAUACUUUCAUACUAGAAACGUAGAAUUGAUAGUGUGUAGACUAUUCAGUACGUGAUAAAUCAAUAAUGAAUACAAACAAUGAUAAAAAAUGUAGUAGAUAAAAUCUGGUUUAUGUUUUAAUGAAAGUCAUUAAGUCUGCCGUUUUUCAACGCAUUACAGUGUUGAAUAAAUCAACUUCAAUGGAGCAAACAUGUUCGGAAUAAUUUAUGAAGAUUAAGUACCCAUGUUCUGGAUAUCGUGUUUGCUAAAACAGAAGUAAAUACAAUUUUGUGAGACAAUCGACCAAAAGAAAAUGCUUUAAGACUUUUUAGUGGAUCUCGAAUAGGAAGAACCUAGCUGGAAAUAUAUAUUAAAGGGAAAAGUGUGUAUGCAGGGUAAAUUUAACACAGAAGAAAUAAAAAAAUUGUUACUACUUGUCAUAAUAUUAUAAAGGUAAAAGAAUAUAAACACUUGGACCAAGAUUUAUAAUAUAUAUACAGUAUAGAAAUUCUUCUCUGUAACAUGUACCUGUCUGUUAGCUAGGAAGACAUGAUUCAUUGCCGUUCAUGUGUGAAGAAGAAAAGUUACAAACAAACGUUAAGUUUGAAAAGAAAAGAAAUUUAGAAAUCUUAUUUUAGGGUCAAUGAUAAAUGCAGAAAUAAAAUAAAUAAUACCUGCCAAUCAAGAAGGCACAAAUAUUUGAAGGAGCCAAAACGACACUUUUCUUAAUCAGCAGAAUAUAAACAAGUAAUGGGAAUAUGGCUAUUCAUCGCUUUUCUUUUGUUUCCGUACCCUUAACGUAUGAGGUAUAAUAUAUUUACGUCAUACGUCAUUGGCAUAUAUUGGGUUUAUUCGUAGUACGAUCAGCGAACGUUGCCAACCAUCAGACGCAUGCGCAGUUAACAGUUAGCGUUCGUAGACUACGAACGCGCAUGCGUCUGAUGGUUGACAACGGUCACUGAUAGUACGACGAACAACCCUAUAAUUGAGAUAUACCAAUGACGUAUGAAGGAUGUAUAUUAUACGUAAUACGUCAAAGGUACGAAAAAAAGGAAAAGCGGCGAAAAGUCCUAAUACUGUUGGUGACGUUUAGGGAUUCAUUGAAACAACCCGAGAUACAGAUGAAUUGGCUAAUAUAGUCAAAUAUAAGUAAUAGACAAGAUAAUGAAGGCGUAAUCCACUGAUGGUAAACUUAUUUUCAAAAAAGAUUUAUUAAUCGGAUUCAAUAAGGUUGUCUGGUUACUCUGUAAAUAUUAGUAAAGAAUAAAAUUACUAAAUUGUUAUGCAUACACGCUUAAAAGGUUGUACUAACUGAAAAUAAUGUUAUGUAAAUAUAUAUGUGUAUUCUAAUGUAGAUAUUGAUUUGUCACCUACAUUAUUAAGACCUGUGGGCACGCUUUGUUGGAGAAAAAUUCUAUAAAUUGUUGUAAUUAUGUAUUUUUAAAAAUGUGUAACAUUUCAUGUUAUAAAACAAUAAAAUAGAAAUAAAAACCAACUUUGAAUAAUA
rnacentral:lncRNA from 1 species